GGCGGCGUGCUUACACAUGCAGUCGAACGGUGGAUGGCCCUUCAGGGGUACACGAGUGGCGAACGGGUGAGUAACACGUGGGUGAUCUGCCCUGCACUUCGGGAUAAGCCCGGGAAACUGGGUCUAAUACCGGAUAGUACUGCGCGGUGCAUGCCGUGUGGUGGAAAGAUUUAUCGGUGCAGGAUGGGCCCGCGGCCUAUCAGCUUGUUGGUGGGGUAAUGGCCUACCAAGGCGACGACGGGUAGCCGGCCUGAGAGGGCGACCGGCCACACUGGGAYUGARACACGGCCCAGAYUCCUACGGGAGGCAGCAGUGGGGAAUAUUGCACAAUKGGCGCAAGCCUGAUGCAGCGACGCCGCGUGAGGGAUGACGGCCUUCGGGUUGUAAACCUYUUUCAGCAGGGACGAAGCGCAAGUGACGGUACCUGCAGAAGAAGCACCGGCCAACUACGUGCCAGCAGCCGCGGUAAUACGUAGGGUGCAAGCGUUGUCCGGAAUUACUGGGCGUAAAGAGCUCGUAGGCGGUUUGUCGCGUCGUCUGUGAAAACCAGCAGCUCAACUGUUGGCUUGCAGGCGAUACGGGCAGACUUGAGUAUUUCAGGGGAGACUGGAAUUCCUGGUGUAGCGGUGAAAUGCGCAGAUAUCAGGAGGAACACCGGUGGCGAAGGCGGGUCUCUGGGAAAUAACUGACGCUGAGGAGCGAAAGCGUGGGUAGCGAACAGGAUUAGAUACCCUGGUAGUCCACGCCGUAAACGGUGGGCGCUAGGUGUGGGUUUCCUUCCACGGGAUCCGUGCCGUAGCUAACGCAUUAAGCGCCCCGCCUGGGGAGUACGGCCGCAAGGCUAAAACUCAAAGGAAUUGACGGGGGCCCGCACAAGCGGCGGAGCAUGUGGAUUAAUUCGAUGCAACGCGAAGAACCUUACCUGGGUUUGACAUACACCGGAAAGCCGUARARAUACGGCCCCCCUUGUGGUCGGUGUACAGGUGGUGCAUGGCUGUCGUCAGCUCGUGUUCGUGAGAUGUUGGGUUAAGUCCCGCAACGAGCGCAACCCUUGUCCUGUGUUGCCAGCGCGUAAUGGCGGGGACUCGCAGGAGACUGCCGGGGUCAACUCGGAGGAAGGUGGGGACGACGUCAAGUCAUCAUGCCCCUUAUGUCCAGGGCUUCACACAUGCUACAAUGGCCGGUACAGAGGGCUGCGAUACCGUGAGGUGGAGCGAAUCCCUUAAAGCCGGUCUCAGUUCGGAUCGGGGUCUGCAACUCGACCCCGUGAAGUCGGAGUCGCUAGUAAUCGCAGAUCAGCAACGCUGCGGUGAAUACGUUCCCGGGCCUUGUACACACCGCCCGUCACGUCAUGAAAGUCGUAACACCCGAAGCCGGUGUAUAACCCUCUGGGAGG
rnacentral:rRNA from 1 species